rnacentral:rRNA from 1 species
GGUUAAGCGACUAAGCGUACACGGUGGAUGCCCUGGCAGUCAGAGGCGAUGAAGGGCGUGCUAAUCUGCGAUAAGCGCCGGUAAGGUGAUAUGAACCGUUAUAACCGGCGAUACCCGAAUGGGGAAACCCAGUGUGAUUCGUCACACUAUCAUUAACUGAAUCCAUAGGUUAAUGAGGCGAACCGGGGGAACUGAAACAUCUAAGUACCCCGAGGAAAAGAAAUCAACCGAGAUUCCCCCAGUAGCGGCGAGCGAACGGGGAGGAGCCCAGAGCCUGAAUCAGCAUGUGUGUUAGUGGAAGCGUCUGGAAAGGCGCGCGAUACAGGGUGACAGCCCCGUACACAAAAGCGUAUGUGCUGUGAGCUCGAUGAGUAGGGCGGGACACGUGGUAUCCUGUCUGAAUAUGGGGGGACCAUCCUCCAAGGCUAAAUACUCCUGACUGACCGAUAGUGAACCAGUACCGUGAGGGAAAGGCGAAAAGAACCCCGGCGAGGGGAGUGAAAAAGAACCUGAAACCGUGUACGUACAAGCAGUGGGAGCACCCUUUGGGGUGUGACUGCGUACCUUUUGUAUAAUGGGUCAGCGACUUAUAUUCUGUAGCGAGGUUAACCGAAUAGGGGAGCCGGAGGGAAACCGAGUCUUAAUUGGGCGUUAAGUUGCAGGGUAUAGACCCGAAACCCGGUGAUCUAGCCAUGGGCAGGUUGAAGGUUGGGUAACACUAACUGGAGGACCGAACCGACUAAUGUUGAAAAAUUAGCGGAUGACCUGUGGCUGGGGGUGAAAGGCCAAUCAAACCGGGAGAUAGCUGGUUCUCCCCGAAAGCUAUUUAGGUAGCGCCUCGUGAAUUCAUCUCCGGGGGUAGAGCACUGUUUCGGCUAGGGGGUCAUCCCGACUUACCAACCCGAUGCAAACUGCGAAUACCGGAGAAUGUUAUCACGGGAGACACACGGCGGGUGCUAACGUCCGUCGUGAAGAGGGAAACAACCCAGACCGCCAGCUAAGGUCCCAAAGUCAUGGUUAAGUGGGAAACGAUGUGGGAAGGCACAGACAGCCAGGAUGUUGGCUUAGAAGCAGCCAUCAUUUAAAGAAAGCGUAAUAGCUCACUGGUCGAGUCGGCCUGCGCGGAAGAUGUAACGGGGCUAAACCAUGCACCGAAGCUGCGGCAGCGAC